AUGUUUGAGAAGAUCACACUCGAUAGAGCUCAAAAUUCCAUCAUCAUUGACCAGUUUUAUUGUAAUCGUGAUCACAAAUGCAAAACUCAGGCCUCGGCUGUGUCGGUGGAUGAUAUGAAGUACAUUGAUUUUGAAGGAACUUCUGCGAGUGAGGAGGCGAUCAAAUUAGAUUGUGACCAGAAUUCAAGUUGCCACAACAUUAUUAUGGACCGCAUCAAAGUUACCUCUGAUGUUCCUGGUAAGAAGAUUUAUGCCUCUUGCAAUAAUAAUAUUGGAACUUCCAUUGGCACUAUUGUGCCCAAUGUACCUUGCCUCAAGGUAGGGGCAGAACCAACUACUUAUUCGCCAGCUACGCCUCCACAAGCUCUGCCUUUGCCACCUACGCCUUUGCCAUCUCUGCCUUUGCCUGUUACACCUCCGCCAUCUCUGCCUAUACCGUCUACAUAUCCGCCAUCUCCGCCUAUGCUGGCUGAGCCUUCAUUAGCUCUAAUUUUGCCAGCUCCGCACUUGCUAGAUACACCUCCGGCAUCUCCGCCUGUGCUAGCUACACCUCCGCCAUCUCCACCUAUGCCGGCUACGCCUCUUCUAGCUCUAAUUUUGCCAGCUACACCUCCGCCAUUGACGGCUACGUCUUCGCCAUCUUUGCCCAUGCCAGCUACACCUCUACCGAUUAUGCCUCCCCUAGCUCCACCUUUGCCAAAUAAGCCUCGACCAACUCUGCCUUUGCCAACUAUGCCUCCGCUAGCUCCGCCUUUGCCAAAUAGGCCUCGGCCUCUACUUUUGCCAACUAUGCCUUCCCCAGCUCCACCUCUGCCAUUUACACCCUUAGCUUCGCUAGUAUCAACUCUGCCUCCCCCAGCUCUGCCAGCAACACGACAAAUGUCCUUUAAAGGGAACUCGGUAAGGCCUAAGGCACAAGUGUGGUAC
rnacentral:lncRNA from 1 species